CGUAGGUGGCAAGCGUUGUCCGGAAUUAUUGGGCGUAAAGCGCGCGCAGGCGGUCCUUUAAGUCUGAUGUGAAAGCCCACGGCUCAACCGUGGAGGGUCAUUGGAAACUGGGGGACUUGAGUACAGAAGAGAAGAGUGGAAUUCCACGUGUAGCGGUGAAAUGCGUAGAGAUGUGGAGGAACACCAGUGGCGAAGGCGACUCUUUGGUCUGUAACUGACGCUGAGGCGCGAAGGCGUGGGGAGCAAACAGGAUUAGAUACCCUGGUAGUCCACGCUGUAAACGAUGAGUGCUAAGUGUUAGAGGGUUUCCGCCCUUUAGUGCUGCAGCUAACGCAUUAAGCACUCCGCCUGGGGAGUACGGCCGCAAGGCUG
rnacentral:rRNA from 1 species